UACGAAGGGGGCUAGCGUUGUUCGGAAUUACUGGGCGUAAAGGGCGCGUAGGCGGCCUGUUAAGUCGAACGUGAAAUCCCCGGGCUCAACCCGGGAACUGCGUCCGAUACUGGCAGGCUUGAAUCCGGGAGAGGGAUGCGGAAUUCCAGGUGUAGCGGUGAAAUGCGUAGAUAUCUGGAGGAACACCGGUGGCGAAGGCGGCAUCCUGGACCGGUAUUGACGCUGAGGCGCGAAAGCCAGGGGAGCAAAGCGGGG
rnacentral:rRNA from 1 species